CACGUAGGGCGCAAGCGUUGUCCGGAAUUCUUGGGCGUAAAGAGCUCGUAGGUGGUUUGUUACGUCCGCUGUGAAAACCUAGGGCUUAACCCUGGGCUUGCAGUGGAUACGGGCAGACUAGAGGUAGGUAGGGGAGAAUGGAAUUCCUGGUGUAGCGGUGAAAUGCGCAGAUAUCAGGAGGAACACCGGUGGCGAAGGCGGUUCUCUGGGCCUUACCUGACACUGAGGAGCGAAAGCGUGGGGAGCGAACAGG
rnacentral:rRNA from 1 species